CCCCAGCCGGGCACUGUGGCAGCCCGUGGGCUCUGGUUGGCAACUGCGCCUGCUGAUCUGCCUGGCACCCGGCACCUGGUCUGGGAAUGGCAUGCAGCUGCUGGGUAAUCGCUCUCACAGGAUACUCUGGCCAGGCAGGUCUGCAUGCGUUUCUCUGGGGACCAGAACAGAGGAUGAAGUCAGACAAGUAAGCAAACACCUGGCGCAGCCGGUGCUGUCCUCCCCACACCUGGGAAGGCCACAGAGCUAACAUGGACAGGCCCUUCCCAGCCUCAGGUAGUCUGAGUCUUCGCUGCUGCGCCAUCCCUCUCCUUACGGGAGCCGCCCCACACCUGCCCAGGAUCAGGACGCUCAGGCUGGCAGUCAUUUCUCUGGCACCUGGCACAGAACAGGCAGGCAGGGAGCCCAGGGGGCCACCAAGCCAGGGCCUCAGCAAUGGAUGCAUGGACUCUGAGCAGAUCUGGCCUCCUUGGCUUUGGCCUAAGGGAGCCUCCCUUCGCUCCUGGAAUUCCUGGCUCUCCCAAAUCUUGGGCUCUGCCCAACCUUGGAAGCCUGCACUGGAAAGCAGAAGGCCCAGCAACAGUCCCUCCUGGGCUCCUGUAGCAUGAGCGCUCCCCUGGGCCAGCACACCCCUCCCUAACGUCCCUUGUCACACUCCCAAGGGACUCCUUUCCCAACACAGUAAAGGCUCUGGGACGCAGAUGAAGAGGCAGUGGCUGGAGCUGUGGUCCAGGGGAAGACAGGUGUGGCUGGGCAGGGCUGGGUGACCAGCCUGUCCCUGGGCUCUGGUGAGUGGUGAAGGAGGCCCAGAGUCCCCAGGAAGCGUCACUGCCAACAGGGGCGUGGGCACCAUCGUCCUGUGGGGAGGUGGGUGUCGGUCCCCGCGAGGCAUGAGUGAUACUGGGACACUGGAGCGGAUCUAGGGAAAUGGAGACAGGGCUGGGGGUCCCAGGAGGAAGCCAAGUUUGGGCCUAAGAGGCAUCAACAGGGGUGCUGCAUGGCUCAGAGGCCUGCCGCCCCGUGAGCCCACUCAUGUCGUCUGGGGCCGCUGCCACCAGCAGAGGAGCCAGGAAGCACAGGAAGUCGCCCGCAGCUGAGAGGCAGAACUUUAUCAAGGACAGCACUGGAGGGCCACCCAGGCUGGCCUGAGGCUGACGAGAUCUAACAGCUUGGCUUUACAUCACUCCCGUCCUGACGGCUCUGAUGGUCUUGUGGUUCACGUACAGCGGGAUGCGCUUGUCCACCACCUGCCACCGGAUGGACACACCUGGGUCGCAGGCGUGCAGGUGCUGCAAGGACAGAGGCGGCCAUCACUCCCGCCCCGAGCGCUCAGGACCUCAGACCGCAGGGGCAUGGUGACCCUGUAUCUGCCUCCAGCCUGAGUGCUGCCAGCUCACUCUGCAAAGGGGGACAGGGACCCCUGCUGGGGUGCCCCUGAGACCCCCCACAGGGAGGCCAGAGGUUCCCCAGUGAGAAAACUGCCCGCCAGGGUCCGGUUCGGGAGAUGUGGGGCCAAUCGACAUGCAGGGGACAGCCAUCCCCAUAAAUGGAGUGCUCCCAGGAGUCAGGAGCCCUUGCCAGCCACCCCGGCCUGAUCCUCAGCCCCUGCCAUGGGGGUCCCCAUCUUGGUACCACACAGGGCCUUCGCUCCACCCCUCUGCUGUACUCUGGCCUCUCCCUGCUUCCCUUGGGAAUGUCCAGAAGACUCUUAGCCCCACGGCCCCAUCUCUGGUCCUGGGCAGCCCCCUCUCCAGAAGCCCCCGAGGCCCAUCCAGACCCCUGAGCCCCUGGGAUCCCCGCCCGGAUGUCCAGCCUCAUACAGAGUUCAGCCUCUUCAGCUCCAUGUCGUUCUGGUCUGGGAAGUGGAUGCUGAUGGCCACCGUCUCGACCCAGGCAUUGUCUGUGUUCCGAGGGUCAUCCACGUACCCCUUGUACACCUGGAGGCACAGCAGGGCUGACCAGGUCGGCAGUGGCCCGGGCCCCCACUCACCACCAAUGGGCUGGGCCCAGGAGAGCAGCCCCCGGGCCUGGCCGCAAGAUGAUGGCCUGUCCUGCCGGGCCUCCGAGGCCUGGGAAACACCCCUGUGGGGCCCACACCCAACACCAUCCACACGAGGGCCCCCGCUGCCUGCCGAAGCAGCUGGGUUUCCUCUGGAGUAAGGGGGGCCGCGCAAUAGGACAAGUGCGGGACACCAGGAUUUUGAUCACUUCGGCCCAGUCUCGGCCUGGGGUGCUGCUCAGGGCCCGCACUGGUCAGCACCCAGGAGAGGCUCUGGCCUCCAUCCCAGCCCCCUACCCCCCCACCCCCCCACACAGUCAGCUUCAUGUCAUGUGACUCUCGCUUCAGUAAAAAUGAAAUGCCUUUAAGUAGUGAACAAAGAGAGAUGGUGGCUGAACGCCCACGGCCUGCACAGGGGAAGCCACACUGCUGGGUGGGCAAGUCAAAGCCCUCAGUAACCUGGGACAGCACUGUCCACACUGGACAACAGAGGCGCCACCAGAGGACUGGCCAGCUGCAGAUAAGGAAGGAGGAGGGGAACUGAAAAGCACAGUGCCAGCUUCAACUGCAGCCCGGCCCCGGGGAGAUGACGCCGUCCUGAUUCCUCCUCCACCUGCGAAGGGAGCCACUCACACCUGCGCAGGUGCACUGGUCACCAGCCGCCCUUCCCCGAGCAGCAGCCUGUGCCAGACCUGCCUGAGGCUAGGGGUGGCUUGGGCCGCCUGCCAGCCCACCAGCCCUCCCCCUUCUGUCCUGAGGGCCUCAUCCCAGGAAACUAUCAGCAACGGUUGCCAUGGGCACCAUGAUCUUCCCCACCUCAGUAAACCACUGGUAGGGAAGAAAGGGCCCGGGCAUUUUGGAGAUCUUCAAUCAGAAGCCUUAAAACUUG